rnacentral:lncRNA from 1 species
UAACAAAAGCUUCUGUCUUGGACAGACAGUCCAAUCCAGCUGACUGUGAUUGGCCAUUAAUUAAAAACAACCCAUGAGACCAAUCACAGAUGCACCUGUUGCAUUCCACAGCAGCAAAUAACCAUUGUUUAAAUUUUGUUCCUGAGGCCUCUCAGCUUCUCAGGAGGAAAAAUCCUAAGGAAAGGAUUUUUCAUAAAAGAUGUCUGUGACACCCCCCUGCUCUUCCCCUCUGGCAGAUGCCAGCUGGUUGCCCAUAUACGAAGAAUCAGAAGACGCAGUAGAUUUCAUCCUGGCCUUUGUCAGCAGCCUUGACAAGGUAACAGUGGCCAGCUGGACACUGGCUGUGAUUUGCUGGGCUGUGCAGUGGUGCUGGCUGGGCAGAGCUGCAUUCCUCACAGGGCACUGCUCUCCCAGUGCUCCAGCCCCACUGGCUGCGUCCAUCCUCCCACACUCCCUGUUUGUGCCUCUGCCAGGACACCCACAAGUUCACAUUUCUGAAGAGCACCUACGUUGUGUGCAAAACUGCCUUGAAACGGGGCUUGACCAGGGGCCUGGAUUUAUUCUGUCAAACGUGUGAAGUGGUUGAGAAUAUCAAGGACCUCCUGGACAAAGAGCCAAGGGACCGUCUGUCCUCCAAGAUCCGCUACCUGGCCAUGAUUACCAUUGAAGAAUUAAGCUUGGUGGAGAAUGUGCUGGAGGGCAAAACCAAAAUCCUCCUGUCUUCAUGUUUCUCAAGUGUCCUCCUGCUCCCCUCAGAAAGGGAAAUGCCACACCAGAACACUGCCCUCUACAUCAAGACGCUGAAAGCCAUGGACACAAUGCUGAGGACAGUGGUGCUCAGCUUUCCUGCUUCCAGCGUCAGCAAGGAGCUGCAGGACAUCUUUGAGAUGCUGCUGGAGUACACCAGGUUUGAGAGGGAAGCUGUGCGGGAGAGGGCUAUGGGGAGGAUUGCUGUCCUGACCAAUCUGCUGUCUAACUAUUCCACUCUGAAGCCCUCUGUCAACUUUGGAAGAGACAGUUCUGGACCUGUGCGCCCUGAGGACAUCUCAUUCCCAGCCAUGGGAAGGCUGGUGGGACGUCUCAUUCUCUUCCGAUAUUCCGGGGAACAAACAAGCUACACAGCUUUCCACGCUCUGUUUUCCCUUGCUGAAUUCCUCUACAAGUCAAGACCAAGGGAUGGGUCAGAUGUAUUCUCUUGGGAAGCUGUGACCACCUCCUCACUGUGUUACCUGAGCAUUAUAGACUGUACCCAGGCCUUUGGAAGAUACCUCCACUCCAGUGAGAGGACAGAUGUCGUCCUUGAGGCCAUCGAGGCCAUGAAAGAUCCCAGCAUCCUUAACAAGGAUGUGCCCUGCAGUAUACUGGAUGUGGUCAUGGAAGACACAGACUUCUGGGUGACAGAUGUGCCCAAGACAGUGAAGUGCAUUUUUGAGAACCUGCUAUACACCACCACAGAGGCAGGCUGUGUCAAAGUGGAGUCACUGUUUCUCCUGAUGACCACCCAGUACCCCUCGGCCGUGGUCAUCAGCCUGUGUGAGAUGGCUCUUCAGGGAGA